CGUUCGCUCAAUCGGGCCGAUUGCAAAACAGACAUGGCGGCGCUCGAAUUCUAGCGGCUAGAAUUCGAUCGGUUUUCGGCUCGAUUUCUAUCCGUCUGCUCGAUUGCUCGAAAACAGACGAUAUUUUUCGCAGUGCUGCGAUGAGCAAAACGAAACACGAGCAGUUUUCAAUCGCAGCAAUCCGGGUGCGUGUUUUGUUUUGGUGCGUUAUUGUUGUGAAAUGUGUUGUGGAAUUUGGUCGCAGUUUGGUUUCUGCUUUUUCCGUUGUUCCUGUUCAGAAAUGCUUUGAGCGCCGUAUAGAAGAAGCCAUUGUCCGGCGAUAAUUUAAUAAUAUGUAAGAAAAUAUCGGACCAUGCGAACAAAGCUUCCAAGGAAAUGUCAACACGGUACGGGCGCUGGUGGAAUGUCAUCCUGGACAUCGUAUUAUGAUCCGGAUCCGGAUCCCAGACACGCUCAGAGGUGGUGGCUUCACUUUAAGAUCACUUAUAAUUAGUUUUUGCCGUGGUACUUCAUAUAGUGAAAAGCAAGAAAACAUCGACCCAUUGCAAACAAAGCUUCCAAGGAAAUGUACACACGGUAUGGGCUCUGGUGGAAUUUCAUCCCGGACAUCGUACCCGGAUCCGGAUCUCGGCUCAGAAGUGGAGGCUUAACUUGGAUUACUUUUAAUCAGUUACGGUGUGAUACUUCAAAGGGGAAAGCAAGGUGAGUACUGUUUUCACAAUUCUUUACUAUUUGCUUAUUGAACUGAUCAUUUUCAAGAUUUAAGUUUUGAUUCUUGUGGAUCAAAACUAGAUUCAAAUUUCGAAAAUGUCUGAUUGCUUGAAUUCUACAAACCAAAAAAAAUUCAAAUUAAUCGUGACAGAACCGCUGAGACUUCAUUUUUUUUAAAUAUUUUUUUAAAAUUAUCUAAUUUUAAAUCGUACAACACCUAUAUGUAUUUGGUCAAGAAUUAAAUUUAACUUAAUCCUAAUUUCACAGCAUUUGUGAAUCGCCUAC